rnacentral:misc_RNA from 1 species
AAAGAAGCCCGAUGCCUUUGGGGGAGCUACAUGGCUAACUAGAUGAGAGCCACUAGAAUUCACAUCAGAUGAUUGAACAUUUUCUACAUAUUCAAAGCGAGAUGCAAAAGAUGAACCAGUUGCAGCAGUUUUGGGCACUGUUGAAGAUGAAACUGGAACUGUAGGUUCUUCAGGUUUCUGAUCGUAUAGAUUUUCACUUGGCUUUGUAGUAAGCUUUCGGGCACCAAGUCCCCCAGUCUUCCCUGGCUUCUUCCCACCAAUGGGCUUCUUAACAGUACUUGAAAAUACCGUCUGAGAAGCUUUUGGUGAAGCAGAAAUUUCUGGAGCUUCUUGCUUUCCUGAGACAUUGUCUUUCGCAGCUUCAUUAGUCUUGACAUCAGGAGGUCCAUUUGUUACUUGGCCUGACAGAGAAGCAACUGGGGAAGAUGGCAAUGCCAGCUCUUCUGCCAUACUUUUAGCAACUUCUUUCGAAAGUAAUUGUCUAUACAAUUCAGCAGCUCUUGACGUAUAUUUGGCCUCAAUUUUGCCUCCAUCAGUCCAUCCGUGCUGCUUAAAGAAAACCUGUGCUCGGUUAUUCCCUCCAAAGCUCAUUGUUUUAAGCUGCUCCACACUCCAAGAAUCUAAAUUCGUGGACCUGACGAAGCUAACAUGGACGCCAAGGCUGCGAUGUACAGCGGAGCAAUCAAUACAGAGGAAGAUCCCAUAGGUAACAGAAGCCCAAGUCGGAUUCUUAGCAUUGCAAUCAAAGCACAUCUUG